UCCUUGAUGCCCUUCACGUUUUUGAAAAU
rnacentral:sRNA from 1 species